GUGGCGCACGGCUGAGUAACACGUGGGAACCCGCCCCCCGGUGGGGGAUAACGCGACGAAAGUUGCGCUAAUCCCGCAUACGUCCCCAGGGAGAAAGCGCAGUGCGCGCCGGGGGAGGGGCCUGCGGCAUCAGGUCGUUGGUGGGGUAAGGGCCUACCAAGCCGAUGACGGGUAGCUGGUCUGGGAGGAUGACCAGCCAGACUGGGACUUAGACACGGCCCAGACUCCUACGGGAGGCAGCAGCAAGGAAUUUUCGGCAAUGGGCGCAAGCUGUACCGAGCAACGCCGCGUGCGGGAUGACGGCCUUCGGGUUGUAAACCGCUUUUCGGGGGGACGAUGAUGACGGUACCCCCGGAAUCAGCCCCGGCUAACUCUGUGCCAGCAGCCGCGGUAAGACAGAGGGGGCGAGCGUUGUCCGGAGUCACUGGGCGUAAAGCGCGCGCAGGCGGCAACCUAAGUGUCGUGUGAAAGCCCCCGGCUCAACCAGGGGAGGCCAUGGCAAACUGGGUCGCUCGAGCUGCGGAGAGGCCCCUCGAAUUGCCGGUGUAGCGGUGAAAUGCGUAGAGAUCGGGAGGAAGACCAAGGGGGAAGCCAGGGGGCUGGCUGCAGGUGACGUUGAGGCGCGACAGCGUGGGGAGCAAACCGGAUUAGAUACCCGGGUAGUCCACGCCGUAAACGAUGACCACUCGGCGUGUGGCGACUAUUGACGUCGCGGCGCGACUUAGCUCACGCGAUAAGUGGUCCGCCUGGGAACUACGAGCGCAAGCUUAAAACUCAAAGGAAUUGACGGGGGCCCGCACAAGCAGCGGAGCGUGUGGUUUAAUUCGACGCAACCCGCAGAACCUUACCCAGACUGGACAUGACGGUGCAGACGGCGGAAACGUCGUCGCCUCCGAGGGCCCGU
rnacentral:rRNA from 1 species